rnacentral:rRNA from 1 species
ACAAACGCUGGCGGCAUGCCUAACACAUGCAAGUCGAACGAGACCUUCGGGUCUAGUGGCGCACGGGUGCGUAACGCGUGGGAAUCUGCCCUUGGGUCCGGGAAUAACUCAGAGAAAUUUGAGCUAAUACCGGAUGAUGACGUAAGUCCAAAGAUUUAUCGCCCAGGGAUGAGCCCGCGUAAGAUUAGGUAGUUGGUGGGGUAAAGGCCUACCAAGCCGACGAUCUUUAGCUGGUCUGAGAGGAUGAUCAGCCACACUGGGACUGAGACACGGCCCAGACUCCUACGGGAGGCAGCAGUGGGGAAUAUUGGACAAUGGGCGAAAGCCUGAUCCAGCAAUGCCGCGUGAGUGAUGAAGGCCUUAGGGUUGUAAAGCUCUUUUACCCGGGAUGAUAAUGACAGUACCGGG